UGAAGGUUCCGUUGUAAAAGGUGUUUCCAGUAGCCAUUCCAACUACUACGAAGAUCGACAAUACAGCUGGAAAAUAUGCAACUUGGUUGAUCGUAGUUACGGUAGAUAGUUUUCCCUAAUUUGAGGAUUUGAAGAGGUUGAAGACUUAAAACAAAUAGCCAAUUUUAUGAUGAAGAUGUUGAAGACUUGAAACAAAUAGCCAAUUUUAUGAUGAAGAUGUUGAAGACUUGAAACAAAUAGCCAAUUUUAUGAUGAAGAUGUUGAAGACUUGAAACAAAUAGCCAAUUUUAUGAGUCCUGUCAUUCUGUAUAACGUGGUUUUUCAUAAUUUGGGAUUUGGAGAGUCUUAAAACUUCAACACAAAGAGCCAAUUUUAUGAAAAAAAUACUUCUGUGUUUACGUCAUACAUAAUAAAAUUGUUUGGCUAGUUAAA